UACGUAGGGUGCGAGCGUUAAUCGGAAUUACUGGGCGUAAAGCGUGCGCAGGCGGUUUGUUAAGACAGGUGUGAAAUCCCCGGGCUCAACCUGGGAGUGGCGCUUGUAACUGGCAGGCUAGAGUGUGUCAGAGGGAGGUAGAAUUCCACGUGUAGCAGUGAAAUGCGUAGAGAUGUGGAGGAAUACCGAUGGCGAAGGCAGCCUCCUGGGAUAACACUGACGCUCAGGCACGAAAGCGUGGGGAGCAAACAGG
rnacentral:rRNA from 1 species